rnacentral:lncRNA from 1 species
AGAAGACGAAGAGCUGGAAUAGAGCUCGCCUCGGCUCUGCUGGCCUUGGCUGCAGCUCUUCCAGAAACCCAGGGCGCCCACAGAAGAAUCUCUUACCUGGCUCUCUCUUCAGGGAUGACAUCAUCGGCUCACACCAGUCUUCCAGGACCACCUUCCAGAUGCCAAGGCUGCUGCUCGAGUACCUGCUGUGCAUCUCUACCUCCUGAGCCAAGGAGCAUGGAUUCCAGGAACCCACUACCAUUCAGAGCAACUCCUCGUGGACCCCCUCCCCCCCCCGAUCAGGACAGCGAGGGACAAGAGACAAAGAGGAUCAUCAGUGGCCAGCUAGUCUCUCUGGGGUUCAAACCUUGAACCAGUGCCCUAGUGAGGGGGCACUGGCCAUGACCCUUGACCUUUGCUCUGCUUGUGUCUUGAGUCUGAGUCCUUUCCUGUACAUCUGUGCUUGUGUUCAUCUGCUAGUGAACUGGAGUGCUGCCCUCCCCGAGGGGGGUCGUCCCUUGUGACUGACCAUGCUGUCCUAACAAUGGCCUGAGCAAAAGGGUCCCAUUGGGAACCUCUCAGGAGGGGGACCCGGGUCAGGGGCGACCAGCAUCUUGCUGGCAACUCCGUGGGUGGGGUGGGGCGGGGUGCUUCCUUCUGGAAUGAGCACGUGGCUGACCCCAAAGGCAUGUCCCCUCCCCCUCCUCCACCCACCUUCUCAGAGAUGUCCCUUUUGGGGUAGUGGGGACAUUAGGAGCAACCUCCUAGGGUUGUUGUGAGAAUUAAAUGAACUGCAGCAGCCUGAGGCAGGGCUGGGCAGAGACCUCAGCACAUGUUUGUUGAAAGGUUUGCAGGUGGAUCUAGCCCUCCCGUUCAUGGCUCAUGUGUCUCAACCAUUCUCCCACAGACUCCUGCAGCCCCUAUGCCCAGGGCUCUCCUUGCGCCAGGUAGGGGCUCCUAAACAACAGGACGUCCGGGAGACUUUGAGUAAGGACACGAAUAAAGUGUGUGGUCAUUUCCAGGGCACUUUCUACAUAAUGUGACCGUGUUAUUCCUGUCAUUCGUGUGUCAAAGGGGGUAGCCUAGUGUCUAGAGAGGAGGGGUAAAUUGGCAUUGAUUUUAUUUUUAUUUUUAUUUUUUUCAAGAUUUUUAAAGAGGUAGGUGGGAAAGAGAACUGGGAGAGCCCGGACUCACUCAUGAGAUUGAACUUAAAUUCACACUGAGGACACUUGGACUCUUGCCACAUUGGGUAAGAGAAGGGGUCAAAGUUGGACCCGGGUGCCAUUGUGGCGACCCCUGAUGGUCCAAUCCCCUGUCCUCCACCUAAAGUUCUUCAAUCCAUACCAAACAUUUCACAGUGGGGAAUCCUAGCUUCCCAAGGGUGGUCUUGGGAGCUGCUGGGGGAGGGGGUGGGGUGGCCCAAGUCUGGUAGCACGUGCUGACCUCACCUCUUAGGAAUGGUGUGACCUUAAACAAGUCAUUUAGUUUCCAGGUUUCAGUUCCUUUCACACCUAAAUAGGCAUUUC